CAGCAGCCGCGGGAAUACGAAGGGGGCUAGCGUUGCUCGGAAUUACUGGGCGUAAAGGGAGCGUAGGCGGGUCGUUUAGUCAGAGGUGAAAUCCCGGGGCUCAACCUCGGAACUGCCUUUGAUGCUGGCGACCUUGAGUAUGGGAGAGGUAAGCGGAACUCCGAGUGUAGAGGUGAAAUUCGUAGAUAUUCGGAAGAACACCAGUGGCGAAGGCGGCUUACUGGCCCAUUACUGACGCUGAGGCUCGAAAGCGUGGGGAGCAAACAGGAUUAGAUACCCCCGUAGUCCCUGUCUCUUAUAC
rnacentral:rRNA from 1 species